CUGGCGCAAUCUCGGCUCACUGCAACCUCCGUCUCCUGGGUUCAAAUGAUUCUCCUGCCUCAGCCAUGAUGCUCAAUUUCUAAUACUAAUUGCCUAUUUUACCAUCUGUUACAGCUUCAUUGUAGGAGGUGUGAAAGAGGAGGGAAAUUGUGUUGGAAGAGGAGAUUAGGACAUCAAGAGACACCAGGAGUACCCAUGCACAGAGAAAAACAUCAUAUGAAGACACAGCAAGAAGGUGGCCAUUUGUAAGCCAAAGAGAGGCCUCAGAAGAAACCAAAUCUGCUAACACAAUCAUGGACUUUCAGCCUCCAGGACUGUGUGAAAAUAAAUUUCUGUUGUUUAUGUCACCCAGUGUGUGGAAUUCUAUGGCAGCCCUAGCAAAUAAAUGCAACCACUAUCAGUAUUAUUUGUCUUUUUAUACACUCUACGGUGUCAAGCCAAAUUUAAUUUUUAAAAUAAUGAUAUCCAGUAUCCACUAAAGCUAUAU